GCGAGUAUGGCCCUCACGGGUCUAAUCCACCACAAACACCUUUGUGAACCAGUCAGGGGGACUCGGCCGUGAAAGCCCAGGCGAUUAGCGGAGGGGCCCUCCUUUGCAAACCCGUUUAGAAGUCUUGAAAGUACUUUUGUAUAAUCUAGU
rnacentral:misc_RNA from 1 species